rnacentral:rRNA from 1 species
AAAAAAACUAACCAGGAUUCCCCCAGUAACGGCGAGUGAAGGGGGAAGAGCCCAGCAUCGAAGCCUAUGCCCACUUGGGUGUAAGGCAAUGUGAUGUUAUGGGGUAUGCCUGGGGUCAUUGACCAGCUCGAAGUCCGAUAUUGAAGGUGGCUUAUUUAUAAGUCCCAAAGCGGGUGAUAGGCCCGUGCGAGUUGGUUCAGUGAUCUCUAGAUGCAUGCCCUGUGGAGUCGGAUUGCUUGAGAAUGCAGUCCAAAGUUCGUGGUAAACUCCAUGAGAGGCUAAAUACCUGGCACGAGUCCGAUAGCAAACAAGUACCGUGAGGGAAAGUUGAAAAGUACUCUGAAGAGAGAGUAAAUAGUACGUGAAACCACAUACAGGUAAACGGGUGGAGUCCAGCUGCGUGUUGUGGGGAUUUAGCUGGUGUGUGCAUAUGCAGAUGCAUGAAACUGUCAUGUGUGGCUUGCCUAUAAUUGGCAAAUUAGGCUUGCGCCUAAUUCAUGUUCCGUCUUGUAGACGGUAUGGGCUGCGCAUGGUGUCUGUUUGCAUGCCGGUGAUUUCCUCAUGACUGACAUCACAGUCAAUACAGCCGCUAGUGUGUGGUGAUCAAACCGUGGUGUAGUGGGCCUUGAAGUUCACUCGCCAUGUGGAUGGCAGGUCGUUUGUCUAUUUGCCUUUGUGUAAAUAGUUCAAACAUAAAUAUGGUUGCGGCCAGCCGAUCAUCAUGCUGUAAAUGUGCAUACAUUUAACUAUGCGGUAUAUUGGUAAUGAGUGUGCCGACUAAAUGGCGUUGCUAUCAGGCUGGCCCUUGGGGAGUUAUGUGUAAAAGCGUGCUCAACAUUGUGGCUUCAGCUUGCGUAGUGAUGUAAUGCGGUCGCGUUCUCGCAUAAACUGUGGUGUGUGUAGACCCCCCC